rnacentral:rRNA from 1 species
GGUGGGUGAGUAACGUGUAGGUAAUUUGCCUUCGAGAGGGGAAUAGGCCCGUGAAAACGGGAUUAAUACCGCAUAAAGUUGUUCUACAUAAGUAGGAUAAUGAAAGGUGGGGAUCUUCGGACCCAUCGCUUGAAGAUAAGCCUGCAUCUGAUUAGCUAGUUGGUGAGGUAACUGCUCACCAAGGCAUCGAUCAGUAGCUGUUCUAAGAGGAAGAUCAGCCACAUUGGGACUGAGAUACGGCCCAGACUCCUACGGGAGGCAGCAGUGAGGAAUUUUGCGCAAUGGGGGCAACCCUGACGCAGCAACGCCGCGUGACCGAUUGAAGCUUUUAGGAGUGUAAAGGUCUGUCGUGAAGGAAGAAAUAGUCUGAGAAUAAUACGUUUAGACUUUGACGGUACUUCACAAGCAAGCUCCGGCUAACUUCGUGCCAGCAGCCGCGGUAAUACGAGGGGAGCAAGCGUUGUCCGAAAUAACUGGGCGUAAAGGGUACGUAGGCCUUUUUACAAGUUUUCGGUGAAAGUCAUAGGCUCAACUUAUGAACUGCCGGAAAAACUGUAGAGAUUGAAUUCGGAAGGGGAAAGCGGAAUUCCUGGUGUAGCGGUGAAAUGCGUAGAUAUCAGGAGGAACACCAGUGGCGAAGGCGGCUUUCUGGUCCGAAAUUGACGCUGAGGUACUAAAGCGUGGGUAGCAAACAGGAUUAGAUACCCUGGUAGUCCACGCCCUAAACGAUGGAUACUUGGUGUCGGGAUGUUCGAUCGUCUCGGUGCCGUAGCUAACGUGUUAAGUAUCCCGCCUGGGGACUACGGUCGCAAGACUGAAACUCAAAGGAAUUGACGGGGGCCCGCACCAGCGGUGGAACAUGUGGUUUAAUUCGAUGCAACGCGAAGAACCUUACCUGGGCCCGACAUAUAUAUGAAGUAUGUAAGAAAUUAUGUAUUCUGCUUGCUUUGUAGGUAGCAUAUAUACAGGUGAUGCAUGGCUGUCGUCAGCUCGUGUCGUGAGAUGUAGGGUUAAGUCCCUUAACGAGCGCAACCCCUACUUUUAGUUGCCAUCAGGUAAUGCUGGGGACUCUAGAAGGACUGCCGAGGUUAACUCGGAGGAAGGUGGGGAUGACGUCAAGUCAGUAUGUCCCUUAUGCCCAGGGCUACACACGUGUUACAAUGGCCGGUACAGAGUGUUGCUAAGUCGUGAGACCAUGCUAAUCACUUAAAGCCGGUCCCAGUUCGGAUAGGAGUCUGCAAUUCGACUCCUUGAAGUUGGAAUCGCUAGUAAUCGCAGAACAGCAUGCUGCGGUGAAUACGUUCCCGGGCCUUGUACACACCGCCCGUCACGCCAUGGAAGUUGGGAGUGCCCGAAGUUGCUGUCUAUACGGUGGAGGUAACUAAGGUAAGACCGAUGACUGGGGCGAAGUCGGAACAAGGUA